rnacentral:rRNA from 1 species
GAAACGACUGCUAAGACUGGAUAGGAGACAAGAAGGCAUCUUCUUGUUUUUAAAAGACCUAGCAAUAGGUAUGCUUAGGGAGGAGCUUGCGUCACAUUAGUUAGUUGGUGGGGUAAAGGCCUACCAAGACUAUGAUGUGUAGCCGGGCUGAGAGGUUGAACGGCCACAUUGGGACUGAGACACGGCCCAAACUCCUACGGGAGGCAGCAGUAGGGAAUUUUCGGCAAUGGAGGAAACUCUGACCGAGCAACGCCGCGUGAACGAUGAAGUAUUUCGGUACGUAAAGUUCUUUUAUUAGGGAAGAAUAAAUGAUGGAAAAAUCAUUCUGAUGGUACCUAAUGAAUAAGCCCCGGCUAACUAUGUGCCAGCAGCCGCGGUAAUACAUAGGGGGCAAGCGUUAUCCGGAAUUAUUGGGCGUAAAGGGUGCGUAGGCGGUUAAAUAAGUUUAUGGUCUAAGUGCAAUGCUCAACAUUGUGAUGCUAUAAAAACUGUUUAGCUAGAGUAAGAUAGAGGCAAGUGGAAUUCCAUGUGUAGUGGUAGAAUGCGUAAAUAUAUGGAGGAACACCAGUAGCGAAGGCGGCUUGCUGGGUCUUUACUGACGCUGAGGCACGAAAGCGUGGGGAGCAAACAGGAUUAGAUACCCUGGUAGUCCACGCCGUAAACGAUGAGUACUAAACGUUGGGUAAAACCAGUGUUGAAGUUAACACAUUAAGUACUCCGCCUGAGUAGUACGUACGCAAGUAUGAAACUUAAAGGAAUUGACGGGACUCCGCACAAGCGGUGGAUCAUGUUGUUUAAUUCGAAGGUACCCGAAAAACCUCACCAGGUCUUGACAUGCUUCUGCAAAGCUGUAGAAACACAGUGGAGGUUAUCAGUUGCACAGGUGGUGCAUGGUUGUCGUCAGCUCGUGUCGUGAGAUGUUGGGUUAAGUCCCGCAACGAGCGCAACCCUUAUUGUUAGUUACCAGCACGUAAUGGUGGGGACUUUAGCAAGACUGCCAGUGAUAAAUUGGAGGAAGGUGGGGAUGACGUCAAAUCAUCAUGCCCCUUAUGACCUGGGCUACAAACGUGAUACAAUGGCUGUUACAAAGGGUAGCUGAAGCGCAAGUUUUUGGCGAAUCUCAAAAAAACAGUCUCAGUUCGGAUUGAAGUCUGCAACUCGACUUCAUGAAGUUGGAAUCGCUAGUAAUCGCGAAUCAGCAUGUCGCGGUGAAUACGUUCUCGGGGUUUGUACACACCGCCCGUCA